rnacentral:misc_RNA from 1 species
AUGAAUUUGAGAUAAGCUUAUAUCUGAACUUUGGAAAGUGGUGGAAUGUCAAAUUCCAAACUAAAUAAGUUACUUUAUUAAGUGAAUUUCAAUUCCUUUAAAAUGAAGGGAUCCAAACGCCCCGUGAUGAAAUAAUCGUUGAGGUUGCUGAUAGUUAUCUAGCCGCCCCACGUCUACUCUCCCUGGGUUUUGCGCGCCCCAUUGAAGCCCGCUCCUCCACCGACCAACUUUCUGCUGAUUGUGCUCCCCUUGAGCUCCCCCGUGGUGCUCAACCACUGUCUGCCCCUACGCUAUUACCCCUUCCCAACUCCAUGUGUGUUGGCCGUUACGAUAGGGGUAACUCUGCAAGGAUUACUCAAUGCCUCCCAACUACUCCUCCUGGUUCUGUGUUAUCCAUCUCUGAGCUCUACAAAGAUUCCUAUUCAACCGCAGUGGUGAAUGUUAAUGUUGGUGAGGGCGAUCAGAGUGUUAAGUGUGCUGCCACAAGAUCGUGUUUCUCUUCUCCAUCUGCCACGAACUCCACCCUACCCCCUAUUGUUGAGGCCUACCUACCUGCAGAUUCUUAUGCCAUAAUGUCUCCCCCUCCCAGCUUCUCUCCGCAAGGAUAUAAAGAAAGGGCAGUCAGGUGUAGGCGUUGCCGAGGGUUGUGCCAUCGUAGUUUCGACUGCCCCCUUGCUUGUCGUUGCCAAGCCAUGGCUGAUGAUGGAACUCCAAUCCUCUCUCUGUCGCACCCAUCGGCCCUCAUUGUCAUGUCUGUUUUGAUGUCCCUCCUCAAGAAGCUCCUCCACGUCCACCCUCCAUUGUCUCCAGCACUGGCAGCAACACUCCGACCCCUGGAGUGUAGAAGGGAGUUUGUUGAGGUCCACAUCGACGACGUUGAAUAUGUGGUCAGUAAAGCUUUAGCAUA